rnacentral:rRNA from 1 species
CACGAACCGUACGAACGUUAUUCGGAAUCACUGGGCUUAAAGGGUGCGUAGGCGGCUUGGUAAGUUGGGUGUGAAAUCCCUCGGCUUAACCGAGGAAUUGCGCUCAAAACUGCCAGGCUAGAGGAAGUCAGAGGUGAGUGGAACUUAGGGUGGAGCGGUGAAAUGCGUUGAUAUCCUAAGGAACACCAGUGGCGAAAGCGACUCACUGGGGCUUUUCUGACGCUGAGGCACGAAAGCUAGGGGAGCGAACGGG